CAUUUUUUAAAUAAAAGCACUUAAGUGGGGGAAAAAAAAAUAGUAAAAACGUACAAUUUCACGAUUUCAUUAUUUUAUAAAAACACGGACGACGUUUUCUACCAGAAAAAAUGAUUUAAUCGAAAAAUCACAAGACACCGUUUUGAUUAAUUUUCUUACGGUUUCAUUGCCAAAACUUUUGAGUCACCGGAAUACAAUAAAUAUACCAAGAGCGUGGUUAGACCUUAAACAACGGUUGUAAAUUAAACAUAUAAUUUAUUAUAACAAACGCAAUCUUUAGAUAAUUUAUUCCCAGAUAAUAAACAAAAUGUGUAAUAAAGAAAUAAUGUAGAUAGCCGUGAUUUGAACGACGGGUUGCGGAGGUCUCCCCGAGCAUAUAUAACUCCGCUCGAAACAUCGUCUAAUUAGAUAAGUCCACCACGAUCAAAUGCGACCAACUUCGUGUCCCUCUGUUUUAUGAAUAUUUUUGUGAAUUUUAUUUUAUUAGACUUGGAAUAUUUUUGAUGUUUUAAAUUGUAUUAUUGGACUUAAUAUAUUUGUGAAGAUUUUAUUAUUGGACUUGUAAUACUUUUGUGUGAAAAUAUUAAUUAUUUGUAAACUCGAGUUAGAGUUUAAUUUAUUUCAACAUUUUCCCUUCAAGUCCUAUUCCUAAGUUGGGCCCGUUACACCAUAAACCACAGAUACACAAUAUAUUCAACUAAAUAGCCG